CUGACCUCAAAUCAGGUAGGAUUACCCGCUGAACUUAAGCAUAUCAAUAAGCGGAGGAAAAGAAACUAACAAGGAUUCCCCUAGUAACUGCGAGUGAAGCGGGAAAAGCUCAAAUUUAAAAUCUGGCGGUCUUUGGCCGUCCGAGUUGUAGUCUGGAGAAGUGCUUUCCGUGCUGGACCGUGUACAAGUCUCUUGGAACAGAGCGUCAUAGAGGGUGAGAAUCCCGUCUUUGACACGGACUACCAGUGCUUUGUGAUGCGCUCUCAAAGAGUCGAGUUGUUUGGGAAUGCAGCUCAAAAUGGGUGGUAAAUUCCAUCUAAAGCUAAAUAUUGGCGAGAGACCGAUAGCGAACAAGUACCGUGAGGGAAAGAUGAAAAGCACUUUGGAAAGAGAGUUAAACAGUACGUGAAAUUGCUGAAAGGGAAACGCUUGAAGUCAGUCGCGUUGGCCAGGACUCAGCCUUGCUUUUUGCUUGGUGCAUUUUCUGGUUGACGGGCCAGCAUCGAUUUUGGUUGUUGGAUAAAGGCUGGGGGAAUGUGGCACCUUCGGGUGUGUUAUAGCCCUUGGUCACAUACAACGGCUGGGAUCGAGGACCGCAGCACGCCUUUAUGGCCGGGGUUCGCCCACGUUCGUGCUUAGGAUGCUGGCAUAAUGGCUUUAAACGACCCGUCUUGAAACACGGACCAAGGAGUCUAACAUGCCUGCGAGUGUUUGGGUGGAAAACCCGAGCGCGUAAUGAAAGUGAAAGUUGAGAUCCUUGUCAUGGGGAGCAUCGACGCCCGGACCUGACCUUCUGUGAUGGAUCUGCGGUAGAGCAUGUAUGUUGGGACCCGAAAGAUGGUGAACUAUGCCUGAAUAGGGUGAAGCCAGAGGAAACUCUGGUGGAGGCUCGUAGCGAUUCUGACGUGCAAAUCGAUCGUCAAAUUUGGGUAUAGGGGCGAAAGACUAAU
rnacentral:rRNA from 1 species